ensembl:processed_transcript
UUUUACAGCAAAAUUAUACAGGAAUUUAUUGUUUUAACAUUUCACAAGUUAUUAUUGUAAUUCGCAAUGCAUUAUGGGUUAAACCAAGAGUUACAGUUGUUAACUGCAAAUUUCUACAGGGACUGUAAAUUAAUUUACAGGUAGGAGGUGUGUCAAUGUAGAUUCUGCGUUUUUACAACAACAUGUUGUAGUGUGGAAUUAUGGGAUUUCGCGGGCUGAUGCAGAUUUGAAAUAUGGUGGACUGGACAAGCGGGAGAAAACAGAAGGCAUUAUUCGUUAAUUUCAAGGAACUUUGGUGAAAAAAUCAAGACGUGGUGAAUUAGGUUGUUGGAGGUGACUCGAAUCUGAUCGAUAAAGAUUUAUAAAGGCAUGUCCACGUUGGAUGAGGACGUACGAGAUGCUGUAUUGGCAGUCCUACCUGGGCUAUCAGAGGAGAAACUAGUGUCUCUUUUGAACAAAUUGGCAAGCAUAGGAGUUGAAUCCAAAUCUGACUUGCAGUUUGUUAAAGAGGACGAUCUUCCUGAUCACAUCACACCAAUACAGUGUCGUCGGCUCCUCAAUGCAUGGAAUAUAGAAGACAAAACAGUUUGUGCCAAAGUAUCACCUUUAGAAUCCACAAACAUAGUCUUUGAUGUAUCACCAGUAAACUCACCAUCUUCAAAUUUCAGUUCCUCACGUACACCAAGUGUCUCUAGCACAAACAGCUCCAGUUCAACUGUCGAUUUAACUGUAUGGCCUGAAAACUUUGAAGUUCCAUGGAAUCGGAUGUCUUCUGGUAUUAAAACUGCCACUGCACUGGGUAGACGCCCCACAGCUAAAGAACGCAGAGAAAUGGUGAGAAUCAUUGUUGAUGAGAUGAGACAGACAGAGUUAAAUCCAUCAAAAUCACAAUGUCUGAUUGUUGCAAAGAAGAUUGUUAAACAGUACCCACAAAGCUUUGCUGAUGUUUUGAAAGAUGGCACAAGAAUUGGGACUGGCUAUGGAUCCCUUUUGAUACAGCUAAAAACAAGAGUGGAGCAUGUUAAUCGUGGCUGCUCAUUUUCGAGACGCAGGAAACAAAAAAAGACCUCAAAUUCACCACCCGAGGACACUGGACCAGGGCCUACUGACCAGUAUGGAUGUGUAAGGUGGCAGCCUGAGUGUCCUGUUGAUGAUACUGAAGAAAGUCUCCAAGAAAAGCAGGAAGAAAUGAAGGACCUCUAUAGUUGUGAGGGGCCAGCUGGAGCUCAAAAAGGACAUCUAAGUCAAUUAAUGAAAGCUACAUACUACCUCCAACGUAAAUCGAUUAAUGCCUGUCCACCACCAUCCAUUGCUGAGUUGAAAAAUGAGUGGCCAUAUCUUUUUACACCCAAAGAACUGUAUAGCCACUUUAAGUCACUUACCAACAUCAGCAUUUUGGAAAGACUUGAGAAGUCCAUGGAAGAAAAAGGAAAGAUGAUUCUUCAGUUUUUCCAUCAAAAGCCAGCAGGGACCAAAACAGAUGAGAUUCAGCGAAUACUUCUGAAGUUUGAUGAUAGUGGAGCUUCAAGUUUCAUUCCAUGUGUGGUCCUUGUGCUUCUGUCACACUUUAAAGAAAAAAACGAUGCACUGAUUCUUCAGACGGAUGUAAGUCUUAUAGUGUAUUUUUAAAGUACAUAUUUUGUUCUUAUAACCGAAAAGUAAAUGCAUUUUAAUCAAACCCCCCCCCCCUCUCACUUUUUUCUUGUAGGUGUCAGCAACAGCAGGUGAUGUGGAGAAAAGCUUGGUGCUUCCAGACUCUCCAAGACUAAUUGUCUUAGGUAAUGUACAAUGUCCUGUAAUAAAUCUGUAAAUUUAUUAAAUAAACUUUGCAAGCAUUUUUGUGUAAGUGUUGCUUAUAUAUUUAUUAAUUUUAGGGGACAUUCUCACUGCAACUCAGUGGAUGCUGAGCAUCGAGGGACAAGUAGUUGUUGGUCCACACCCCAAUUUCAUAGCUGGAUUUGCAGCUUUGUUUUCAAGCUACUACAACUUCAAUCUGGUGUACCAGGAGCAGGCGUCUUGCACACUCGAAUUUGUUCAAAGGUAAGAAAAUGACUUAAAUAGAAGUUCUGUCAUCAUUUACUCUUCCUCACUUGUCAUAAACAUCUUUUAGUUCUCUUUGCUUUUGUUGAACACAAAAUAAUAUAUUUUGAUGAAAGAAAAACACUUCUAAUCAUUCACUUCCAGAGUUUUUAGGUUGAACUACACCUUUAAUACAACUCAAAUGCAUUUUUUAUUCAUUUAUUUACCCUCAGGCUAUCCAAUAUUUAGGUGACUUAAUGACUUAUUAUAGUCUCAUGCAAAAGUUAAAUUAUCAGUCUUUGCAAGAAACUAAUUAUGAUGAUAACUAUUCUACUUUUAAACCAUGUACAGGAUAAGCCAGACAACUCUGGAGCUUGAGUUUUCUUUCACAGAAAGACAUGUUAAUUGUAAAUCUUGUGUGAACCAAAAUGAUUCUUAUUUACACACAUUGUACCUCUGUUGUAAAUAAUAAAUUCAGUUCAUUUAUGUUUCUGGUUGCGUGUUCCAUCAUAUGACAGAAAGCUUGAGCUCUGGAUUAGUUUGUUAUGGCAGUGCUGUACAAACAUUUUUUUGUACAAACUGAUUGUUUCCCUUCAUAUGACCACAAUAUAUCUGUUAUAUCUAUCUUUUUAUGGUAGUCAUUUACUUUCAUUAUAAAACUCACAACAGACCACAGUAUCAGUUAAAACCUUAAUUUUCAACUGAAGGAAACUACACUGCAAAAAAUGCUUUUCUUACUUAGAUUUUUGGUCUUGUUUCUAGUCUAAAUAUCUAAAAUUUCUUAAAUCAAGAAGCAAUUUCUAGACAAGCAAAACAUAUUGUCUUGUUUUGAGAAAUAAAAUGCCAAUAUUAAGUUAGUUUUUCCUUAUCUGCCAAUGGGGUAAGCAAAAUAAUCUUGUUUUUUCUUUUGACGUGUAAGAUUAUUUUGCUUACCCCAUUGGCAGAUUAUUUUGCUUGUUUUAAGGAAAAAUGUAAAAUUUAGGAAUUUUAAGAUAUUUGGACUAGAAACAAGACAAAAAAAAUCUAAGUAAGAAAAGCAUUUUUGCAGUGUAGUUUUAUUUUAUUGUAAAGCUCCUGUCUUUAUUUUAUGACUGGUCUUUUUGCAGAUGCUUUGUUGGAAUCAAUCCACCCACUGGGACCAAGGCAGCCACAGCAAAGAUUGGAGGAAAAAAAGGUGGAAAGGUGUCAGAGAAGAGGAACCACACAGUCAAUCCUCAUGUUUGUACUCUUCUCAGAAAGCUAAUGGACUUUGAAUGGUUAAGCAUGUAAGUGAGUUCAAAGUUCAAAUACAGGACUUCUGCAAAAUGAACAAACUUGUUAUAGACACACAUUUAUAAUAUUUUGAUUGUUCAAGAACAUCUUAAAGCUAUUUGUACUUUAUUUUUUGAAAUUUUGAGAAUGUUUUUCAGCAAUGUUCAGCAACAGAAAUGUUAUUUUACAAGUUGAACUCUUAGAGUGCUCUGCUGUCAGUUUUAAAAAAAUAGUUUAUUACAAUUGUUUGUAUAGACACGUGAUGUUGUAACAUUUGGGAUAUCUUUGGGAUAUCAAAAUAUCUUAUUUACUGCCACUUUUGACACUUUGUGAAUAUAGAUAAUUUUGUUAAAAUAAAUUGUUUAAAUGUGUUUUGGCAUAGCUGAUUCACUUUAUUGAGUUUUAAUCAACCCAGAAUAUUGCUUCAAAUUUAAAGUCUUUAAUAAAAAAUAAAUGCUGUUAUUACAAUAAUUUUGCAUUUGUUUUUUUUUAUUAUUAUUAUUAAAAAUGUAUAGUGUAUGUUUGGUGUAUAGUGUAAUGCAUUUAAAACAACAAGUAAUAGAUUUGCUUACUGUAAAAAAAAUCAUGAUUUACAGCAUUUUCAAGGUAAAACUAUUACAACAACAUCUUGGGUUUUGGGGUAUUUACAAGAUUUUAUUGGCAACUUUAGUUGCCAGGUAAAUACUGUAAUGUAGUGGAAUUACAAGAAAGUACUGUAAUGUAAAAUACAAGUUAAUUUUGUAUUGCUGUAAAAAACACAAGAAAAUAAUGUAUUUCAAAUACAAUUAUUAGCUGUAAAUUGAUUUACAGUAUUUUACUGUAAUCUAUUUUACAGCAAUUUACAACAUUUUUACAAGACAUUAUUGGCAACUUUUUUGCCAGGUAAUUCCUGUAAAUUCUACAGUAAAUUUUUUACAGUGUAGCCUAGGCAAGGCAAGUUUAUUUAUAUAGCACAUGUACAAUGGUAAUUCACAGUGCUUUA